UACGUAGGGUGCGAGCGUUGUCCGGAAUUAUUGGGCGUAAAGAGCUCGUAGGCGGUGUGUCGCGUCGGCCGUGAAAACCUGGGGCUCAACUCUGGGCGUGCGGUCGAUACGGGCAUCACUUGAGUUCGGCAGGGGAGACUGGAAUUCCUGGUGUAGCGGUGAAAUGCGCAGAUAUCAGGAGGAACACCGGUGGCGAAGGCGGGUCUCUGGCCGUAACUGACGCUGAGGAGCGAAAGCGUGGGGAGCAACAGG
rnacentral:rRNA from 1 species